AGGCAGCAGUGGGGAAUAUUGCGCAAUGGGGGCAACCCUGACGCAGCAACGCCGCGUGAUUGAAGAAGGUCUUCGGAUUGUAAAAAUCUUUUAUCAAGGACGAAGAAGUGACGGUACUUGAUGAAUAAGCUCCGGCUAACUACGUGCC
rnacentral:rRNA from 1 species